rnacentral:rRNA from 1 species
AAUCAACCGAGAUUCCCCCAGUAGCGGCGAGCGAACGGGGAGCAGCCCGGAGUCUGAAUCAGCUUGUGUGUUAGUGGAACGGUCUGGAAAGUCCGACGGUACAGGGUGAUAGUCCCGUACACGAAAGCACACAUGCUGUGAACUCGAAGAGUAGGGCGGGACACGUGGUAUCCUGUCUGAAUAUGGGGGGACCAUCCUCCAAGGCUAAAUACUCCUGACUGACCGAUA